UAGAUAGUUUGCAUAUAAACAAAAAUAAACUAACGGUAGAUUAUGAUGUGAACUCACCGAUGAUUGUGGAGAUCGAGUGAACCACCAUCAAAACAAAUAAAAUAAACAAUUUAUUGUCCUUCAUCUACUCCAUUGGAGGAUGAAAAAUAAACUAACGGUAGAUUAUGAUGUGAACUCACCGAUGAUUGUGGAGAUCGAGUGAACCACCAUCAAAACAAAUAAAAUAAACAAUUUAUUGUCCUUCAUCUACUCCAUUGGAGGAUGAGGAAGAGUUUCAUGCACUUCAGUAUCAAAAGCAUUGAUUCCGAUCAUUUGAGAAUUCAAAAGAAUACUAUAAACACAAAUCGUCGGUAUUAUCGUUUGUCAAAUCGAUUGUAUCUGCCCUUCUUCGGGUUGAACUAUGGAAUUUUUAUUUAUUUUUCUUUAAAUGUUAUUUAUGUUUAAAAAUCCUAUUAAUUAGAAUUCAAUGAUGUUUGUUAUCUGUAAGCACAGACAUUUCUCUUAUGUUUAUCUUAUAUUUUAUACACAAACAAAUAUGGUAACUUUGUCGAAUUUAUAAAUAAACUUCAAAUGACUACAUUAUAUUUAUUUUCU
rnacentral:lncRNA from 1 species